CAGUCGCCGCGGUAAUACGUAGGGUGCAAGCGUUAAUCGGAAUUACUGGGCGUAAAGCGUGCGCAGGCGGUUAUAUAAGACAGAUGUGAAAUCUUCGGGCUCAACUCGAAGUCUGCAUCGAAAACUGCCGGGCUUGAGUAUGGGAGAGGUGAGUGGAAUUUCCGGUGUAGCGGUGAAAUGCGUAGAUAUCGGAAGGAACACCUGUGGCGAAAGCGGCUCACUGGACCAUAACUGACGCUGAUGCACGAAAGCUAGGGGAGCAAACAGGAUUAGAGACCCGAGUAGUCCCUGUCUCUUAUAA
rnacentral:rRNA from 1 species